CCCUUGAAGACGACGAGGUAGAUAGGGCAGAGGUGGAAGUGCAGCAAUGUAUGGAGCUGACUGCUACUAAUCGGUCGAGGGCUUGACCUGAG
rnacentral:rRNA from 1 species